rnacentral:rRNA from 1 species
AAUGAACGCUGGCGGCAUGCCUUACACAUGCAAGUCGAACGGCAGCAUGACCUAGCUUGCUUGGUUGAGGGCGAGAGGCGCACGGGUGAGUAAUGCAUCGGAACGUGCCUUUUUGUGGGGGAUAUCGUAGCGGAAGUUACGCUAAUACCGCAUAUACUCUGAAGGGGAAAGAGGAGGACCUUCGGGCCCUUCGCUAGAAUAGCGGCCGCUGUCGGAUUAGCUAGUUGGUGGGGUAAAGGCUCACCAAGGCAACGAUCCGUAGCGGGUCUGAGAGGAUGAUCCGCCACACUGGGACUGAGACACGGUCCAGACUCCUACGGGAGGCAGCAGUGGGGAAUUUUGGACAAAGGGCGCAAGCCUGAUCCAGCCAUGCCGCGUGAGUGAAGAAGGCCUUCGGGUUGUAAAGCUCUUUUGUCGGGGAAGAAAUCGAACCCUCUAAUACAGGGUGUGGAUGACGGUACCAGCAGAAGAAGCACCGGCUAACUACGUG